rnacentral:rRNA from 1 species
ACCUCUGCAAUAGGCGAAAGCUUGACAGGGUUACUCUGAGUGAUUUCCGUUAAGGAGAUCUUUUGGCACCUCUAAAAAUGGUGCAGAAUAAGGGGUGGGCAAGUCUGGUGUCAGCCGCCGCGGUAAUACCAGCACCCCGAGUGGUCGGGACGUUUAUUGGGCCUAAAGCAUCCGUAGCCGGUUCUACAAGUCUUCCGUUAAAUCCACCUGCUUAACAGAUGGGCUGCGGAAGAUACUAUAGAGCUAGGAGGCGGGAGAGGCAAGCGGUACUCGAUGGGUAGGGGUAAAAUCCGUUGAUCCAUUGAAGACCACCAGUGGCGAAGGCGGCUUGCCAGAACGCGCUCGACGGUGGGGGAUGAAAGCUGGGGGAGCAAACCGGAUUAGAUACCCGGGUAGUCCCAGCUGUAAACGAUGCAGACUCGGUGAUGAGUUGGCUUAUUGCUAACUCAGUGCCGCAGGGAAGCCGUUAAGUUUGCCGCCUGGGGAGUACGGUCGCAAGACUGAAACUUAA